CGGGGUGAGUAAUGUCUGGGAAACUGCCUGAUGGAGGGGGAUAACUGCUGGAAACGGUAGCUAAUACCGCAUAACGUCGCAAGACCAAAGAGGGGGACCUUUGGGCCUCUUGCCAUCGGAUGUGCCCAGAUGGGAUUAGCUAGUAGGUGGGGUAACGGCUCACCUAGGCGACGAUCCCUAGCUGGUCUGAGAGGAUGGCCAGCCACACUGGAACUGAGACACGGUCCAG
rnacentral:rRNA from 1 species